rnacentral:tRNA from 1 species
GUUGUGGCUCAGCGGUAGAGCGCUCGCCUAGCAUGUGUGAGGCCCUGGGUUGAAUCCUCAGCACCACA